rnacentral:rRNA from 1 species
UACCAGCACCCCGAGUGGUCGGGACGAUUAUUGGGCCUAAAGCAUCCGUAGCCGGUCCUACAAGUCUUCCGUUAAAUCCACCUGCUUAACAGAUGGGCUGCGGAAGAUACUAUAGGGCUAGGAGGCGGGAGAGGCAAGCGGUACUCAGUGGGUAGGGGUAAAAUCCUUUGAUCCAUUGAAGACCACCAGUGGCGAAGGCGGCUUGCCAGAACGCGCUCGACGGUGAGGGAUGAAAGCUGGGGGAGCAAACCGGG